UACGUAGGGGGCAAGCGUUGUCCGGAAUCAUUGGGCGUAAAGAGCGUGUAGGCGGCCAGAUAGGUCGGUUGUGAAAACUGGAUGGCUCAACCUCCAGACGUCGACCGAAACCAUCUGGCUAGAGUCCGGAAGAGGAGAGUGGAAUUCCUGGUGUAGCGGUGAAAUGCGCAGAUAUCAGGAAGAACACCCGUGGCGAAGGCGGCUCUCUGGGACGGUACUGACGCUGAGACGCGAAAGCGUGGGGAGCGAACAGG
rnacentral:rRNA from 1 species